rnacentral:tRNA from 1 species
GUCCUUGUAGUAUAUCUAUUACACUGGUCUUGUAAGCCAGAAAAGGGGGUAACUCCCCCAUGGACUC